rnacentral:rRNA from 1 species
UGGGGAAUAUUGGACAAUGGGCGCAAGCCUGAUCCAGCCAUGCCGCGUGGGUGAAGAAGGCCUUCGGGUUGUAAAGCCCUUUUGUUGGGGAAGAAAUCGUACGGGUGAAUACCCCGUGCGGAUGACGGUACCCAAAGAAUAAGCACCGGCUAACUUCGUGCCAGCAGCCGCGGUAAUACGAAGGGUGCAAGCGUUACUCGGAAUUACUGGGCGUAAAGCGUGCGUAGGCGGUUUGUUAAGUCCGUUGUGAAAGCCCUGGGCUCAACCUGGGAAUUGCAGUGGAUACUGGCAAGCUAGAGUACGGUAGAGGAUGGUGGAAUUCCCGGUGUAGCGGUGAAAUGCGUAGAGAUCGGGAGGAACACCCGUGGCGAAGGCGGCCAUCUGGACCAGUACUGACGCUGAGGCACGAAAGCGUGGGGAGCAAAC